rnacentral:lncRNA from 1 species
CCUGCAGCCCGAGUUCCGCACCUUUGCCGUCGACCCCCAGAUCACCUCGCUGGAUGUCCUACAGCACAUCCUCAUCCGCGCCUUCGACCUCAACGGGAAGAAGAACUUUGGGAUCAGCUACCUGGGCCAGGAGAAGCAGGGUCAGGAGACAUACCUGUCGCUGCUGUCGGACUGGGACCUGGCCACGGCCUUCGCCAGCGCCUCCAAGCCUUACCUGCAGCUCCUCGUGGAUAUCAAGCCUUCGGAAGACAGCCCCCUGCUGGAGGACUGGGACAUCAUCAGCCCCAAAGAUGUCAUCAGCACUGAUCUGCUCCUGGUGGAGAAGAGGUCCCUGGCGGCGGCCGCCCUGCCUUUUACCCAGUCCAUCAUCUCCCAGGUGGGCCGGACGCUGUCGAAGGUCCAGCAGGCUCUGA